rnacentral:misc_RNA from 1 species
AGCAGCCGCGGUAAUUCCAGCUCCAAUAGCGUAUAUUAAAGUUGUUGCAGUUAAAAGCUCGUAGUUGAAUUUCGGGGUUAGCAGGUCGGUCGUGCCAUCGGUAUGAACUGGUCUCGCUGAUCCCUCCCUCUUGACGAACUGUGAUGCCAUUAAUUUGGUGUCGCAGGGAAUCAGGACUGUUACUUUGAAAAAUUAGAGUGUUUAAAGCAGGCUCACGCUUGAAUACAUUAGCAUGGAAUAAUGAAAUAGGACGUUUGAUCCUAUUUUGUUGGCUUCUAGGAUUGACGUAAUGAUUAAUAGGGAUAGUUGGGGGCAUUAGUAUUCAAUUGUCAGAGGUGAAAUUCUUGGAUUUAUUGAAGACUAACUACUGCGAAAGCAUUUGCCAAGGAUGUUUUCAUUAAUCAAGAACGAAAGUUAGGGAUCGAAGACGAUCAGAUACCGUCGUAGUCUUAACCAUAAACUAUGCCGACUAGGGAUCGGAUGAUGUUAAUUUUUAAUGUACUU